rnacentral:rRNA from 1 species
GCAAUUGACGCGCGGGUGCGUACGCGUAGCACUACCUAUAUGGGGAACAACCCGAGAUCGGGGGUAUACCGUUAACUUCCUGAAGUGGCUCAUUCAUGAAUCCAACCUCCAGGGGGUCAUCAGAUGGGCUUGCGUGACAUAGCUAUUCGGUGAGGUCACGGUCACCAAGUACGAGGUCUAGGGGGUCUGAAAGGAUGAUCCCCAAUUGGUACUGAGAAACGGGACCAGAUCCUACGGGAGGCAGCAGUCAAGGAAUCUUGGCCAUGGGCGCACGCCUGAUCCAGCCAACGCCCGCGUGCACCGAUGCAGGUGUAUGCAUCGUAAAACUGUUUUAUACAAGAAUAAAUCCCUCACCGUGCUGAACGAUCGAUGUACUGUGAAGAAUAAGCAUCGGGUAACUUCGUGCCAGAGCCGGGUAAUACAAGGAUGCAGCGUAAUACCGGAUCAUUGGGUCUCACGGGUGCGUCAACGCGGUCUUUAAUCAAGUUGUCGAAAGCCCCGAACGUCUCAAUUCCGGAAACUGGCCAUUNCGGCCAACUGGGAUCAAGCUUCGACNUUACCCCUCUAGGAAAGCUGGGCGGGAACAGGGCUACCGGNCAA